AACCUCGGGAAACCGUGGCUAAUACCGGAUACGAGACGAGAUCGCAUGGUCAUCGUCUGGAAAGAAUUUCGGUCUGGGAUGGACUCGCGGCCUAUCAGCUAGUUGGUGAGGUAAUGGCUCACCAAGGCGACGACGGGUAGCCGGCCUGAGAGGGCGACCGGCCACACUGGAACUGAGACACGGUCCAGACUCCUACGGGAGGCAGCAGUGGGGAAUAUUGCACAAUGGGCGCAAGCCUGAUGCAGCGACGCCGCGUGGGGGAUGAAGGCCUUCGGGUUGUAAACCCCUUUCAGCAGGGAAGAAGCGAAAGUGUCGGUACCUGCAGAAGAAGCGCCGGCUAACUACGUGCCAGCAGCCGCGGUAAUACGUAGGGCGCAAGCGUUGUCCGGAAUUAUUGGGCGUAAAGAGCUCGUAGGCGGUUUGUCGCGUCUGCUGUGAAAGCCCGAGGCUCAACCUCGGGUCUGCAGUGGGUACGGGCAGACUAGAGUGUGGUAGGGGAGACUGGAAUUCCUGGUGUAGCGGUGGAAUGCGCAGAUAUCAGGAGGAACACCAAUGGCGAAGGCAGGUCUCUGGGCCACUACUGACGCUGAGGAGCGAAAGCAUGGGGAGCGAACAGGAUUAGAUACCCUGGUAGUCCAUGCCGUAAACGGUGGGCACUAGAUGUGGGGCUCU
rnacentral:rRNA from 1 species